AAAUCUUGACUUGGGUUUGUUAACUGCAACAAGGCAGCUUUAACUGAGGGCUUUAGAAUAGGGAACCCAUGUAAGUUUAAACAUAUUCUGAAUUUGAAAGUGUUAACCAUAAAAACACUAUAAAAAACGUGUGGUCUUGUGUUUAAUUAUGUAAAAAUUCACCACAGUUAUUAUAUGCUGCAGCAAAAACUGAACAAUACAUAUUAAGAUCAUUUCUAAUCAACAAUUUCCUUAAUACUAUAUCAAAAGUACUUUAGUACAGUAAAAGUAGAGUUUAUAAUGUUUAAUGAUAAAACAGCAUGCUACUAAUAUGCACAUAUCUGUGCCAAAUAUCUGGGAUGGAAAUGACAGGUGCAAAUAUACCACAAUGUCUAGUUAUGAUAAUAAAACCCAAAGUGAAAACAGAACAACUGAUAUGAAUGCAACACAUCAAAUGUACCUGUGGGGCUUCAAAAAAACAAACAAACAAACAAACAAGGUUUUAUUUGUACUUUUUUUUGUUCUCACUCACCGAAAAAAACCCAUUUUGUUUUCUUUGAGUCUGAGAAAAAUGUGAACAUUUGUUGCAUCAUAAAAUGUUGACAGAGGCGAUUUACUUGAAAUUUUAAAUCAUGAUUUAAAAUUCUUUACAAGUUGCCUUCUUCAUUUUUUAAAAUUCAAUUCAGUCUUAUUUAUAUAACACCAAAUCACAACCACAGGUGCUGUUUAUUGUAAGGUAGAGACCCUAUUCCAAUACAGAAAAAGAAAAAAAAAAAAAAAAAAAAGGGGGCAGGGAUAGCUCAGUAGGUAGAGUGGUGGCCCCAUGAUUGGAAGGUCGGGGGUUCGACUCCACUGAACGGCUACCCUGAGGUACCCCUGAGCAAGGUACCGUCCCUACACACUGCUCCCCGGGCGCUGCUUCACUGGGUGAAUGGGUUAAAUGCAGAGGAACUAUUUCCCUAUGGGGACUAACACGCACACUUUAAAAAAAAAAAAUGAUAAAAUAGUGAAAACAGGCGAGAGUGGGAAGGAAAAACUCCCUUUUUAGAUUCAUCAGUAUGAUUCCAUGUGAGUUACUACCAUAACUGUUGAUAAGCACAUUUUUGCAUUCAGCUCCCAAAAUCUGUGCAUUUGCAUAUCCAUGUAUGUACAAUGUAAACAAAAGAGGAGCCAGUGUUACCUGUGGUCAACUUCUCCACUGGAAAUUUUUAACUUGACUUUACUACCAAUACAGAAAUGGCACAAAUUUCAGUUGAAACUGACUUACCUUAAAAUAAAGAUUAUUCAUUUUUUGCACGUUUAUUUUUCUUCUUGUUUGCUCUGUACCUGUUGCUUUCCUAUGUAUCAGUGACAGCUACCUGCUUGCAUACUAUUAUCCUCCUUCUCUAUGUUC
ensembl:lncRNA